UGGGGAAUAUUGGACAAUGGGCGAAAGCCUGAUCCAGCCAUGCCGCGUGUGUGAAGAAGGUCUUCGGAUUGUAAAGCACUUUAAGUUGGGAGGAAGGGCAUUAACCUAAUACGUUAGUGUUUUGACGUUACCGACAGAAUAAGAACCGGCUAACUCUGUGCCAGCAGCCGCGGUAAUACAGAGGGUGCAAGCGUUAAUCGGAAUUACUGGGCGUAAAGCGCGCGUAGGUGGUUUGUUAAGUUGGAUGUGAAAGCCCCGGGCUCAACCUGGGAACUGCAUCCAAAACUGGCAAGCUAGAGUACGGUAGAGGGUGGUGGAAUUUCCUGUGUAGCGGUGAAAUGCGUAGAUAUAGGAAGGAACACCAGUGGCGAAGGCGACCACCUGGACUGAUACCGACACUGAGGUGCGAAAGCGUGGGGAGCAAACA
rnacentral:rRNA from 1 species